rnacentral:rRNA from 1 species
UACGUAGGGUGCAGCGUUGUCCGGAAUUAUUGGGCGUAAAGAGCUCGUAGGCGGUUUGUCGCGUCUGCUGUGAAAACCUCGGGGGCUUAACCCCCGGGCCUGCAGUGGGUACGGGCAGACUAGAGUGGCGGUAGGGGAGGACUGGAAUUCCUGGUGUAGCGGUGAAAUGCGCAGAUAUCAGGAGGAACACCGGUGGCGAAGGCGGGUCUCUGGGCCGUAACUGACGCUGAGGAGCGAAAGCGUGGGGAGCGAACAGG